GCUCUGCUGCUUCUGUAUGACGUCACCAACAAAGCAUCCUUCGACAACAUCAGGGCAUGGCUGACAGAGAUUCAUGAAUACGCCCAGCAGGAUGUGGUCGUCAUGCUGCUGGGCAACAAGGCUGACGUGACACAUGACAGGGUGGUGAAGCGAGAAGAGGGGGAGAAACUGGCAAAGGAAUUUGGAGUGCCGUUUAUGGAGACAAGUGCAAAAUCUGGACUGAAUGUCGAGCUGGCGUUCACUGCUGUGGCCAGG